rnacentral:rRNA from 1 species
GAUGAACGCUAGCUACAGGCUUAACACAUGCAAGUCGAGGGGCAGCACAGUGUAGCAAUACAUGGGUGGCGACCGGCGCACGGGUGCGUAACGCGUAUCCAACCUUCCCGUUACUCUUGGAUAGCCUUCCGAAAGGGAGAUUAAUACAAGAUGGUGUUCAAAUUCCGCAUGUUAUUUGAACUAAAGAUUUAUCGGUAACGGAUGGGGAUGCGUGACAUUAGAUAGUAGGCGGGGUAACGGCCCACCUAGUCUACGAUGUCUAGGGGUUCUGAGAGGAAGGUCCCCCACACUGGAACCUGAGACACGGUCCAGACUCCUACGGGAGGCAGCAGUGAGGAAUAUUGGGUCAAUGGUCGGAAGACUGAACCAGCCAAGUAGCGUGAAGGAUGAAGGUUCUAUGGAUUGUAAACUUCUUUGUCUGAGGUAAAAAGGCCACGCGUAGGCUUCUUGCAAGUAUCAGACGAAUAGCAUCGGCUAACUCCGUGCCAGCAGCCGC